rnacentral:lncRNA from 1 species
CAUGUCUCUCUCUUCAGGGCUCAUGAUGAGAACUCACACAUGACCUCACAGAGUGUAUAAUACUCACUCAGUGUAAUAUGUCAAUUGGCUUCUGCUUCUUUUUCCUCCACUCUUAAUAUCAGAAAAUCUUACCUCUCCAGUAGACUCUUAGCACUUAAUUCUUAUCUCAUGCUUUUUGUUGAACAGGAAACUACUUGAGCCAAGACAGGUAGCACAGGGAAAAACAGCAUCAACAAUGACCACAAAAAGCCUCUGGACCUGACCCUGCACACCAGGACUUUCAGGGUCUGACCUUAGCUCUUAUUGAGUGUUUUCCUUCGAGGUAGUGGUAUGCUUGCUCAUGCAGAGACCCAGAGAGGCCUUGUAUGAAGUUGUGAAGGUGAAGCCUGGAUUUCAAUGGGGACCCCAAGAAGUUGGAGAUGCCAGAAUUUUUGGAUACCUUCCAAGGAAAGCUGCUAACAAGAAGUGGAGGAGGGGUUGCAGUAACAAAGAUGAAAAGAAUAUGAGAUCUGAAGAGCAAUUUGACAUCAGACAUGGAGAUGUGGAGUUUGGAGUUCACCCAGCAUGGCUGACACUAUCAGAAAGGAAGGCAGUAGAGACUUGAAUUCCUGUUCCCCAAGGUAGGCAACUUGGGGACUCUCCACCUCACAGGGGAGCCUAAAAGGUGAAGAGAACAUCAAUAAGCUGGGUGAUGCCCACAAGAGCGUAUGACAGGACAAGACGAUUGGUUACCUGCCUGGCAUUCAGGGAUGCUUACUGCGUAAGAUGGUCACAUUCCUGUGUCAAUGCUGCAUUGUGUCCCCUUCUAUCACCAAUUGUGGCCCACUAACAACUGCUGAGACAAGAGAUCUGGGGAAGCCUGAAGCAGGGUCAGCAAAGCUGCUGACUGAACUCUGGUGGCCAAAUACUUUAUUCAGCUUGAUGAGGAUAAGAACUGGGACUCCGCUGGAUUGUUAUAGGCUGAAGCUUUGACUGGAGAAAUGAUAGCCACCCUACCCUCAAAUGACUACCCCGAAGAACUUAACUGGACAACGAAAUGUGCUACGUCCAUGACGUUCAAGAAGACUGGGUCUCUGUGUCGAGGUAGCAGAGCCACUGUGACUUUGCAUCAAGCUCAAGAGUAGGCCCGAUUCCUGCUGUUUGCUGUCUAUGUUGGCCUAAAGAACCCCGACUAAUCAGAUGGCAGCUGUAAUGGCUGAAGCAAGCACAGGACUCGGCACUCUCUGCACGUCCUUUUGAGUCCUCAGGCUCAGGCUGAACAUCACAUUUCUGCAUCCAGCUUAUGGAUCAAUACUGCACUGAUAGUUAAAUAACAAGUAUUUAUUGUGUAUUUAGUCUCGUCUGCAGUGGUGACGUAUUUCACAUGUUCAUUUAUUUAAUCAAUAAACACUUACUGGCUAUCUA